UGCUUAUAGAGAAAGGCGGAGGGAUUAGACCCUGCGAUGUCUUAGCAACCUGUACUAUACAAGGUGCUACAUUCUACUCAACAACACACAACACGUUGGGAAAGAUAAGCG
rnacentral:ncRNA from 2 species